rnacentral:rRNA from 1 species
UGAGUACGAGCUGCUACGGCAGCGAAGUGGGUGAUGUCAUGCUUCCAAGAAAAGCCCUAUACCCGUUAAGGCAUGAUGGCCUGUACCCGAAACCGACACAGGUGGGGUGGUAGAGAAUACCGAGGGGCGCGAGGUAACUCUCUCUAAGGAACUCGGCAAAAUGGCCCCGUAACUUCGGGAGAAGGGGUGCCACCGCAAGGUGGUCACAGUGAAGAGGCCCAGGCGACUGUUUACCAAAAACACAGGUCUCCGCUAAGUCGCAAGACGAUGUAUGGGGGCUGACGCCUGCCCAGUGCCGGAAGGUUAAGGAAGCUGGUCAGCGUAAGCGAAGCUAGCGACUGAAGCCCCGGUGAACGGCGGCCGUAACGAUAACGGUCCUAAGGUAGCGAAAUUCCUUGUCGGGUAAGUUCCGACCCGCACGAAAGGCGUAACGAUCUGGGCGCUGUCUCGGAGAGAGGCUCGGCGAAAUAGAAUUGUCUGUGAAGAUGCGGACUACGUGCACCCGGACAGGAAGACCCUAUGAAGCUUUACUGUAGCUUGGUAUUGUGCUCGGGCUCGGAAUGCGCAGGAUAGGUGGGAGGCUAUGAACCAUUGCUUGCGGGUGAUGGUGAGCCACUGGUGAGAUACCACUCUUUCCGAGCUAGAGUUCUAACAGCCACCCGUUAUCCGGGGGCUGGACAGUAUCAGGUGGGCAGUUUGACUGGGGCGGUCGCCUCCUAAAAGGUAACGGAGGCGCGCAAAGGUUUGCUCAGGCUGGUUGGAAAUCAGCCGACGAGUGUAAAAGCAGAAGCAAGCUUGACUGUGAGACCUGCAAGUCGAACAGGGAGGAAACUCGGCUUUAGUGAUCCGACGGUUCUGCGUGGAAGGGCCGUCGUUCAACGGAUAAAAGUUACUCUAAGGAUAACAGGCUGAUCUCCCCCAAGAGUUCACAUCGACGGGGAGGUUUGGCACCUCGAUGUCGGCUCAUCGCAACCUGGGGCUGAAGUCGGUCCCAAGGGUUGGGCUGUUCGCCCAUUAAAGCGGUACGCGAGCUGGGUUCAGAACGUCGUGAGACAGUUCGGUCCAUAUCCGGUGCAUGCGCGGGAAUAUUGAGAGGAUUUCUCCCUAGUACGAGAGGACCGGGAGGAACGCACCUCUGGUGUACCAGUCAUCGUGCCAACGGUAAACGCUGGGUAGCCAUGUGCGGAGAGGAUAACCGCUGAAAGCAUCUAAGUGGGAAGCCCACCUCAAGAUGAGUAUUCCCAUGGGGUAACCCAGUAAGGUCACGGGAAGAACACCCGUUGAUAGGCUCUACGUGGAAGCGCAGUAAUGUGUGAAGCGGAGGAGUACUAAUAGACC